ensembl:lncRNA
CCCGAGUGCCCCCACCACACCUCAGCCACGCCGAGCGGAGCUCUGGCGCGGCCCGCGGGGGUGGCCGGUGGGGGGAGGCGGCCGCGGGAACCUCUGUGUGCUCCCCCUACCAACUGCCCCCAAAAGCCCGGGGCUCCGGAGCCCCUCGGGCCGCACUGCGCCGCUCCUGUCGCCGGUUCCCGCUGCCCCUCCGCUGCCGACUCGGUGAGCCCCCCCGGAAAGUCGCUUGCUUUUAAUGCAGAAAAGAGCUCCAGGCCUGAUCUCGGGCCGUUCCCCUCCCGACACCCCGUACCCGGGACCGAGACCAGGGGGUGGGAAGCGGCUCGGGGGCGGCUCGGCUGUGCGCUUCGGCCCGGCUGCGGUGCUCGCGGGGUGAUGGCUGCGGGCAGCCGGGGGCCGCGCUCUGCUCAGCCCCAGCCCGGCGGCUGCUGAUCGCCUGCGGACGGUAAAGCACCACCACCCCCCUCCAACUGGGAGGGGCUGAAAAAAUAAAAAAUAAAGUACAAUUUUAAAAUAUUAAAAAAAAAAAAGAGGGGUUAUUUCUUUCUUCCUGUGCAGAUGGGAGGAAUGCGGCCUCUCGGUUGGCCCCGGCGCCGAGAGGGUUAAGGCUCCCACACCCCUCCUCUUCCAUGAGGUAUCUGCCCGAAGCCCCAGCGCAUCCAUCCGGGGGCUGCGAAAGGCACCGAAAUAUCGCAGCCCGACCCUGGGAAAUAUAGAGAUGGCGGAGAAUUUCCCCGUACAACUUGGUCACCGAGGCCAACCUAAAGGUGUGCGCGGACAUACGUGUGCUUUGCAGCCCCCACCUGAUGGCUCUCCCCGUCACCCCACCCUCCCCGGACCCGCAGCACGUCGCAGGCCACGCUCUCCCGUCGCCGUGUCCUCUGCCGGGAUCCAGAAGCACGGGCACAGCCGACUCCUACCCCGG